AGACGCGUAAAGUCCCGGCAGGCUGCAGGUAUCGUAGGUGUAGUGCAUCCCGGGGACCUGGUCCUCAAGUUGUAGUUCUCCGUGUUGCCGUGACCCUUUUUUUUGGCCAGGUAGACGGCACAACCGUCAUUGCUCUCCUUGGUCAAAUCACCUAAAGUUGGGAACUGCCUUUAAGUCCUUUCCCCUCAUCCUGAUCGAUGCUGACAGGUAGGGUACUCCCUCCCGCAACUAUAAAGGAUGAUUUGCCGCCCUCGAGAUAGCAGAAGGGGACGCCAGCAGUUCGAGGCUUCGUGAAGCCCAUCGACGGCCUCCAGGUUAGUCCGGCAGCAGCGAAAGCCCCACACCGCGAGAAUUUGAUACGCGGGGUCUUGGACAGCAAGCACCUCAAGCGCACGCUUAAGCUGCUGCGUUCCGUGCUCCACAUCUUCCGGGCCAAAGGAACAGCGUCCUGCCGGUUCCUACAGUUUGGUUGCAUACUCUCAGUGGGCCAGACCAACAGUGCUCAGAGCUGCCAAGGAGUUGCUGAAGAGGAAAAUGGGCACAACAGUUGACGUUCUGAACAUUCUGGUUACCAAAGGCUCCAUAAAGAUGGGAGCAUUCUCUGGUGGGGAACAUAAAGAGCACAGCUUCUGUGGUUGAAGAUAAGUUUCUCACAUAACUGUAAUGCUAAGCCUUCUAAGACAUAUGCUGAUGCCCAAAGCCCUUAAUAAGAGAACCGCAAAGCUGGAGGAAUUGUAUCUAACAGAGCAAAUAUGCCUGCCAUUGCCCAGGAAGAGGGAGGGAACUCCAGACUCCUCUUCUUUCUAUUCUAUGAAGCAAGAUGUGGAUCUUAAUGAGAACCCAGACCAGAAGUCCCACAAUCCCAACCAUUGCCAGCUCUGAACUCUAGGAUAGACUCUCAGCCCAGGGCAAAGCAAGACUACCAGAGUUAAUUCAAGAUGUCUCAGAUACAACCCACCUUUGUCAACGUCCAUGGGCUGGAAAGAAAAGAGAAACUGAAGUGAGUAUCACCAUGAGGGAUUUACACUCAUUCCUCCCCACUUGACUAAUCCCUGAAUCAACUCCCUACCCUACCUGGCUGGGCAGGCACAGAGAUGGGCAGUUCUACCACUCGGUACCAGGGUCCUAUCUCACCUCAUCAUCCACUUUCGGCUUCUCAAAGUAGCUGUGCCUCUUCUUCUCUUCCUCUCUCUCUCUGUCCCGCUCCCGCUCCCGAUCUCGUUCUCGCUCCCGUUCUCUGUCACGGUCUCUGUCUCUCUCCCGAUCACGCUCUCGUUCCCGGUAUCUCUCCCGCUCCUUGUCCCGAGGAGUCUUGGUUGUGGAUGGCACAUAA